AUCUUUUUGAUUAUAUUUUAAGGUUUAAUCUGCCCACUGAAAUUUUUAAUGGCCGCAGUAAUUUAACUGUGCGAAGGUAGCAUAAUAAUUAGUUUUUUAAUUGAAAGCUGGAAUGAAUGAUUGGACGAGAAAAAAACUAUCUUUAUAUUAAAGUAUUAAAAUUUUAUUUUUAAGUUAAAAAGCUUAAAUUUAUUUAGAAGACGAGAAGACCCCAUAGAGUUUUAUAUUUAUAUUAUUUUUUAUAUUUGGAAAUUUAAUUAAUUUAUAAUUUUAAGUAUUUUAUUGGGGUGAUAUAAAAAAUUAAUAGGCUUUUUAUUAUAAAAACAAUAAUUAUUGAAUAUUUGAUCCUAAUAAUAGAUUAAUAGAUUAAAUUACCUUGGGGAUAACAGCGUAAUUUUUUUAAAGAGUUCAUAUCGAAAAAAAGAUUGCGACCUCGAUGUUGGAUUAAGAUUAAUAAUUGGUGUAGAAGUUAAUAUAUUAAGUCUGUUCGACUUUUAAAAUCUUACAUGAUC
rnacentral:rRNA from 1 species